rnacentral:rRNA from 1 species
UACGUAGGGUGCAAGCGUUGUCCGGAAUUAUUGGGCGUAAAGCGCACGUAGGUGGUCUGUUAUGUCGGAUGUGAAAGCCCUCGGCUCAACUGAGGAAGUGCAUCCGAAACUGGCAGGCUUGAGUAUGUAAGAGGGUCGCGGAAUUCCCGGUGUAGAGGUGAAAUUCGUAGAUAUCGGGAGGAACACCGGUGGCGAAGGCGGCGACCUGGGACAAUACUGACACUGAGGUGCGAAAGCGUGGGGAGCAAACAGG